rnacentral:rRNA from 1 species
GGGGGGGGGGGGGGGCGGGGGUAGGGGAUGCGGGGCGGGCGGGGAGGCCCUGCUUGUGUGGGGUGCUCGAGGGGCGAACGGGGGAGUAACACGUGAGUAACCUGCCCUUGACUUUGGGAUAACUUCAGGAAACUGGGGCUAAUACCGGAUAGGAGCUCCUGCUGCCUGGUGGGGGUUGGAAAGUUUCGGCGGUUGGGGAUGGACUCGCGGCUUAUCAGCUUGUUGGUGGGGUAGUGGCUUACCAAGGCUUUGACGGGUAGCCGGCCUGAGAGGGUGACCGGCCACAUUGGGACUGAGAUACGGCCCAGACUCCUACGGGAGGCAGCAGUGGGGAAUAUUGCACAAUGGGCGGAAGCCUGAUGCAGCAACGCCGCGUGCGGGAUGACGGCCUUCGGGUUGUAAACCGCUUUCGCCUGUGACGAAGCGUGAGUGACGGUAAUGGGUAAAGAAGCACCGGCUAACUACGUG